ensembl:snoRNA SNORA74 Small nucleolar RNA SNORA74
CCCAGCUGUAGGCACCUGCCUGUGCUGCCUUGUACCUAGGCAAGUGUUACACAGCUGGGAGAAGAGCAGCCAAUAGCUGGUGGGCACUCUGGGCCUAGUUAAUGCCAAAUUUGUAUUAACUAUAGCAGUGUACCAGCAUG